rnacentral:rRNA from 1 species
GAUGAACGCUGGCGGCGUGUCUAAUACAUGCAAGUCGAGCGAACGGACGAGAAGCUUGCUUCUCUGAUGUUAGCGGCGGACGGGUGAGUAACACGUGGAUAACCUACCUAUAAGACUGGGAUAACUUCGGGAAACCGGAGCUAAUACCGGAUAAUAUUUUGAACCGCAUGGUUCAAAAGUGAAAGACGGUCUUGCUGUCACUUAUAGAUGGAUCCGCGCUGCAUUAGCUAGUUGGUAAGGUAACGGCUUACCAAGGCAACGAUGCAUAGCCGACCUGAGAGGGUGAUCGGCCACACUGGAACUGAGACACGGUCCAGACUCCUACGGGAGGCAGCAGUAGGGAAUCUUCCGCAAUGGGCGAAAGCCUGACGGAGCAACGCCGCGUGAGUGAUGAAGGUCUUCGGAUCGUAAAACUCUGUUAUUAGGGAAGAACAAAUGUGUAAGUAACUAUGCACAUCUUGACGGUACCUAAUCAGAAAGCCACGGCUAACUACGUG